ACAACGGAGAGUUUGAUCCUGGCUCAGGACGAACGCUGGCGGUGUGCCUCACACAUGCAAGUCGAGCGGACGAAGAUUGAAGCUUGCUUCAAUCCUAGUUAGCGGCGGACGGGUGAGUAACACGUAGGAAUCUGCCUUCAGGCGGGGGACAACGGAACGAAAGUUGCGCUAAUACCCCAUAUGCGAGUAAUCGUAAAAGGAGUAAUCCACCGGAAGAUGAGCCUGCGUCCGAUUAGCUAGUUGGUAGGGUAAAAGCCUACCAAGGCUACGAUCGGUAGUUGGUCUGAGAGGAUGAUCAGCCACAAUGGAACUGAGACACGGUCCAUACUCCUACGGGAGGCAGCAGUGGGGAAUUUUACGCAAUGGGCGAAAGCCUGACGUAGCGACACCGCGUGAGCGAAGAAGCC
rnacentral:rRNA from 1 species